rnacentral:rRNA from 1 species
GACGAACGCUGGCGGCGUGCCUAAUACAUGCAAGUUGAGCGCUGAAGGUUGGUACUUGUACCAACUGGAUGAGCAGCGAACGGGUGAGUAACGCGUGGGGAAUCUGCCUUUGAGCGGGGGACAACAUUUGGAAACGAAUGCUAAUACCGCAUAAAAACUUUAAACACAAGUUUUAGGUUUGAAAGAUGCAAUUGCAUCACUCAAAGAUGAUCCCGCGUUGUAUUAGCUAGUUGGUGAGGUAAAGGCUCACCAAGGCGAUGAUACAUAGCCGACCUGAGAGGGUGAUCGGCCACAUUGGGACUGAGACACGGCCCAAACUCCUACGGGAGGCAGCAGUAGGGAAUCUUCGGCAAUAGACGAAAGUCUGACCGAGCAACGCCGCGUGAGUGAAGAAGGUUUUCGGAUCGUAAAACUCUGUUGGUAGAGAAGAACGUUGGUGAGAGUGGAAAGCUCAUCAAGUGACGGUAACUACCCAGAAAGGGACGGCUAACUACGUG